CCUACGGGGGGCAGCAGUGGGGGAUAUUGCACAAUGGGGGAAACCCUGAUGCAGCGACGCCGCGUGUGGGAAGACGGUCUUCUGGAUUGUAAACCACUGUCCCCAGGGACGAAAAUGACGGUACCUGGGGAUGAAGCUCCGGCUAACUACGUGCCAGCAGCCGCGGUAAUACGUAGGGAGCAAGCGUUGUCCGGAAUUACUGGGUGUAAAGGGAGCGUAGGCGGGGAUGCAAGUUGGGUGUCAAAACUACCGGCUCAACCGAUAGUCGCACUCAAAACUGCAGCUCUUGAGUGAAGUAGAGGCAGGCGGAAUUCCUAGUGUAGCGGUGAAAUGCGUAGAUAUUAGGAGGAACACCAGUGGCGAAGGCGGCCUGCUGGGCUUUGACUGACGCUGAGGCUCGAAAGUGUGGGGAGCAAACAGGAUUAGAUACCCUUGUAGUC
rnacentral:rRNA from 1 species